rnacentral:lncRNA from 1 species
UAGAGGGGGGAGGCAGGUAGCCUAGCGGUUAGAGGGGGGAGGCAGGUAGCCUAGCGGUUAGAGGGGGGAGGCAGGUAGCCUAGCGGUUAGAGGGGGGAGGCAGGUAGCCUAGUGGUUAGAGUGUUGGACUAGUAACCGAAAGGUUGCUGGAUCGAAUCCCCCGAGCUGACAAGGUAAAAAUCUGUCGUUCUGCCCCUGAACAAGGCAGUUAACCCACUGUUCCCUGGUAGGCCGUCAUUGUAAAUAAAAAUUUGUUCUUAACUGACUUGGCUAGUUAAAUAAAAAUAAUAUCCUAUGCCUUUGGUGUUGAGAAUCUGCAGUUACUGUAAUGGACCAUUGGGGGGCAGUGUCGUCCCUGGAGUACACCACAAAGAGAUCAGGAGAGGUGACCCAGGUCAUGAAGAGAGAAGCCAGAUAAUCAGCCUAGUUAUUCUGAGAGAGUUGGGCUAAAUGAAUCAGAUAAUGGGGUUUUUUCUUAAUACUUACAAACGACAGAAAGAUCAUGUCUGUAACAUACAAAAAGUGAAAAGAUUAUUGAAUCAAGGAUGUGGAAAU